UACGUAGGUGACCAGCGUUGUCCGGAUUUACUGGGCGUAAAGAGCGCGCAGGCGGUCGUUCAAGUCGAGUGUGAAAGCCCCCGGCUCAACUGGGGAGGGUCACUUGAUACUGAUCGACUCGAAGGCAGGAGAGGGAAGCGGAAUUCCCGGUGUAGUGGUGAAAUGCGUAGAUAUCGGGAGAACACCAGUGGCGAAGGCGGCUUCCUGGCCUGUUCUUGACGCUGAGGCGGCGAAA
rnacentral:rRNA from 1 species